UACAGAGGGUGCGAGCGUUAAUCGGAAUUACUGGGCGUAAAGCGCACGUAGGUGGCGACGUAAGUCGGGUGUGAAAGCCCCGGGCUCAACCUGGGAAUUGCAUUCGAGACUGCAUUGCUGGAGUACGGAAGAGGAAGGCGGAAUUCCCGGUGUAGCGGUGAAAUGCGUAGAGAUCGGGAGGAACAUCCAUGGCGAAGGCAGCUACCUGGACCAACACUGACACUGAGGCACGAAAGCGUGGGGAGCAAACAGG
rnacentral:rRNA from 1 species